CCCUCGACCUCCCUCUCCUAGCCGUGCGCGCAGGCUGAGCUAAUCCAUGAGAGAGAUGAGGAACAGAGAAGGUUGCCGCCGCGUGACAGUAUCACCCAGGUCGUCGCCAGGGCCCAGAUUAAUGGUCAGUGUGCAUCGCUGGGGCCGUUUGCACAUGUUAGUGGCCUUCCCAUGCGGAGACAUCAACAGGACCGCGACAAAUUGCUUGCCGGACUUGGGGAAAUCACCGACGAUCACACCAUGCCGUGGCCAGCCUUGUGGGUGCCUUUCUCGCAGAAGAGCCUGUGACUGAGGAUCCUUGUGACCAGCAGAUAGAAGUAGUUGAGCAGGAGCUCAUUGAAGGAGAAGAACAGGUGGUUCAAGUGGAGCCACACAUCGAGGAGUUCGAUUCGAUCUAGGUGGCGUUUCCCAGUUGACUUGCGCCAAGGAUGAUCCUUAGUUUAUUUUAUAUUUAUCUUUUAUUUUUGUAAGACUUCCACUAUGUAAUAAAUACUCUGAUUAUUGUGACAUUU
rnacentral:lncRNA from 7 species